GGAAAAGAAACCAACAGGGAUUGCCUUAGUAGCGGCGAGUGAAGCGGCAAAAGCUCAAAUUUGAAAUCUGGCGCCUUCGGUGUCCGAGUUGUAAUUUGAAGAUUGUAACCUUGGGGUUGGCUCUUGUCUAUGUUUCUUGGAACAGGACGUCACAGAGGGUGAGAAUCCCGUGCGAUGAGAUGCCCAAUUCUAUGUAAGGUGCUUUCGAAGAGUCGAGUUGUUUGGGAAUGCAGCUCUAAGUGGGUGGUAAAUUCCAUCUAAAGCUAAAUAUUGGCGAGAGACCGAUAGCGAACAAGUACAGUGAUGGAAAGAUGAAAAGAACUUUGAAAAGAGAGUGAAAAAGUACGUGAAAUUGUUGAAAGGGAAGGGUUUGAGAUCAGACUCGAUAUUUUGUGAGCCUUGCCUUCGUGGCGGGGUGACCCGCAGCUUAUCGGGCCAGCAUCGGUUUGGGCGGUAGGAUAAUGGCGUAGGAAUGUGACUUUACUUCGGUGAAGUGUUAUAGCCUGCGUUGAUGCUGCCUGCCUAGACCGAGGAC
rnacentral:rRNA from 1 species